GAACUCUUGAGUGCCUUUUACGGGCAUGUCUGGGCCUGCAGCAAGUCUACCCGGCAACAAGGAAGUAGCCCCAGUACCCUCCCCUUGCUCCUCCCCUCUAGCCUUACGGUAUAUAUGCUGUAGCAGCUUCCACAAUAAACGAGACUUGAUCAGAAACCUGUCUUGUCUCCAUCUCUUGUGUCUCUUGUCCCUUGUCAUUCUCACUCCCCCUCUAGGGUCUCCGUUGACUUACCCGUGGGCCGGGACAGUACAUGUGCCCUUAACUUCCCUCUUGUUUUCUUGUCUCUUAAGCAGAAACUCUCACAGACCAGAAAAUAUGUUUCUUCUUUGAUUUGUAUGGAAUUGGCACAGGCUGUGGAUGCUGAUAAGAAUGAUGUCCACUGAAAGUGGCAAUAUGUCUUAUUUUUGAAGCUAAAAACAGAAGUGGAAGAACUUAUAAAUGCAGAUCGUCAAGAUUCCAUUAAUCUCUUCCUGGGAGUUUUCCAUCCUCCCGAAGGAAACUUCCAUUCUGGGAACUCAAACAGAGUUUUGUCCAUAUCACAAAAAAACCUAUGAAACUUUUACCAACAAGAAAAAGUGACUUUUUACCUAAGACUGUUGGCAUCGAUCCAAGUCCAUUUACUGUGUAGAAAUCAGAUGAAACUGGAAAAUCAGUAUUGGCAAAUUGGAUGGAUAGUAAUGACUUGG
rnacentral:lncRNA from 1 species